CAGGAGCGCGAGAGCCUGACGAUCCGGCUGAGGCAAGACGACUGCUGAUCCCGCAGUAGAAGGGGAGCCCGAUGAUCCAGUGGAGUGUGACGUGGGAUGGGAAGCCGCCAAGCCGGAAAACCUCUAGAGCCAGCCAGGGCGUGAGAAAGCCUGACGGGCUGGCUUCGGCACCCCCGGUUCCAUCGGCGGCAGGAUCCAACCCGAUGUCACCAACAAAACAAAAGACAAAAAGUCCUGGACCAGCCGGGCGAACAAGAACUGACGAUCCAGCUGAGGCCCGACGUGGGAUGGACGCCCUCCGAGCCAAGGAAACCUCUCGAGGCAGCUAGGGUGUGAAAGCCUGAUGAGCUGGCUAGGCGACCCAGAGCCGCUGCCACCAUUCCAACCGGAACGCCAGUACUCCCCAAUGCUUCGUAUGUGGCUGCUGCAUUCUGUCACAUGUAUUGACGCUGGAGAGACGAAGCAGGUACGGGGAGUAACGAGACAGUUUCUGUUUGCUGACGCUGUGCCUAAGACAAAAGACAAUCAAUGCAGCAGCCGGGAACAGAGCUGGGGAAAUGACAAAUAUAGGGGAGGAAAUAAACAGGAGAUAAGUGAGACCAGGACCUGAGCCCUUGGACCAUGCCUCAGGACUACCUGGCAUGAUGACUCCUUGCAGUCCCCAGUCCACCUGGCCGUGCUGCUGCUCCAGUUUCAACUGUUCUGCCUGCGGCUAUGGAACCCUGACCUGUUCACCGGACGUGCUACCUGUCCCAGACCUGCUGAUUUCAACUCUCUAGAGACAGCAGGAGCGGUAGAGAUACUCUUAAUGAUCGGCUAUGAAAAACCAACUGACAUUUACUCCUGAGGUGCUGACUUGCUGCACCCUCGACAACUACUGUGAUUAUUGUUAUUUGACCAUGCGGGUCAUUUAUGAACAUUUGAACAUCUUAACCAUGUUUUGUUAUAAUCUCCACCCAGCACAGCCAGAAGAGGACUGGCCACCCCUCAUAGCCUGGUUCCUCUAGGUUUCUUCCUAGGUUUUGGCCUUUCUAGGGAGUUUUUUUUAGGCUGGGUUUCUGUACAGCACUUUGAGAUAUCAGCUGAUGUAAGAAGGGCUAUAUAAAUACAUUUGAUUUGAUUUGGUCUAAUUGUCCUCGGGUCCGUUCAGAAUGGGUAUCUAUAUUUAAAAAAUGUAUUUAUGCAUAUCGGGUCUGGGUGGGACAGCCCCAGGUCCAUUUCGGUAUGAGUCCAGUUUCCUUUCCAUUUAAGUUCCUUACUGAAUAUGAACUUCCAGAGGAAAGCCUUUUUAAGGAAAAAGCCCUAAAAUCCAUCAAAUAUCAAAGACAAAAUUAUAAACGUGUCUUAAUUGAAAAACUCCAGCACAUAUAUUCAAAAUAUUGCACCACUUCAUAGACUCACUUGAAUGCUCUCCAGAUUGACCCGGCAGUUGGAAGCCAUGGUGGUAAAGUGGUGUGCAUUCUGUUCAUCCAGAAUGAUAUACACGGCAACACUUCGCAUGGCAGCAUCCAGAAUAUCAGCGAAGAUGUCCACAUCUGUGAAAGUGUCCAUUACCACAGCAAUCACCUGGAGUGGACAACAGAGCACACUAUGAUUAGGCCUACAUUUGUUUCAAAUGUUAAAGCAUUCAAUAGUGAGACAUUAUACACACAUAACAUGCUGUGCAAUUAUUCUACACAUAGACGUAGUCGGCAUAUACACCACUACCCCUUUCUGAUUUUCUCUCUAUUUUUGCAUAGUUUAUUAUACUGAAUGUUAUCAGAUCUUCAACCAAAACCUAAUAUUAGAUAAAGGGAACCUGAGUUUACAAAUAACCAAAAAAUUUAUUUAUUAUCAAAUAAAUAUUUAUUUAAUUAUCAAAGUUAUACAACACCCAAUUCCACUGGGUGAAAAAGUAAUUGCUCUCUUACACACAAUAGCUGGCUGUGCCAUCUUCAGCUACAAUGACUAUAACCAUAUGCUUCCUGUAGUUGUUGAUCAGUCUCUCACAUUGCUGUUUGGUUUCCGCCAGACAUAAUGGGACCCAUCUUGUCCAAAACGUUGACUCAAGUUUGCUAAACAAAUCACCUGGGAGCACCUGGAUGAUCAUUAAGACUCUUGGAAGAAUGUUCUAUGGAUAGAUGAGUCAAAAGUAUAACUUUUUGGUUGACAUUGGUCCCAUUAUGCCUGGUGAAAACCAAACACUGCAUUCCACAGGAAGAACCUUAUACCAGGCCUCCGAGUUGCACAGCGAUCUAAGGCACUGCGUGGCAGUGCUAGAGGCGUCGCUACAGAUCCGGGUUCAUUCCCGGGCUGUGUCGCAGCCGGCCGCAACUGGGAGACUCAUGAGGUGACGCACAAUUGGCCCAGUGUCGUCCGGGAUAGGGGAGGGUUCAGCCGGCUAGGAUGUCCUUGUUCCAUCUCGCUCUAGCGACUCCUGUAGAGGGCUGGGCGCUGACACGAUCGCCAGUUGGACUCUGACACAUUGGUGUGACUGGCUUCUGGGUUAACCGAGCAGUGUGUCAAGAAACAGCGCAGCUUAGCAUGAUGGGACAAGACUGUAACAACCAAUUGGGGAGAAAAAGGGGUAAAGAGUGCUUAAAAAUAAAUAAAUAGAAUAUAAAAUAACCUUAUACCAACGGUCAAGCUUGGGGAUGCUUUGUUGCCUCAGGACCUGGAUGACCAGGCCAUCCAUCUGUGAGCUGCAGCUGAGUCAUGCAGCAAGACGAUAAUUAAAAACACACAAUCAAGUCAACAUGAAAUUGGCUAAAAAGCAAAACAUUUGAUGUUUUGGAAUGGCAUAGUCCAGGUAUUCCCAAACUGGGGUACGUGCAAUGCCGUCAGGGGUACACCAAGUAAAAACGUGAUUCCUUUUUUUUUACAUUUAAAAAUAAACCACAUUUGUUAAAAAAUUACUAAAACAAUUAUUCACAUUUUCAAACAGUCCAUUUAGUAAGAACCGCGUCCAUAGAGACACAUACCAGCUCUACUGGUAGUACUGCUACUACCAGCAGUACUACACCUGCACCUGUCGACAACACAAGUUGUUCUGCUUCCACGAGCACAUCCAAUGCUAGCAUCAGUAAUUCUACAUUUGUUGUUAGCCCAGCUAGCAUGUACACUGACAGUUGUGAAUCUGAUGCAGUGGAAGAGCUGCUGCCCCCUUAACCGUGAAAGCACCAAACAACAGACAGGGACAUUGGACCAUCGAAGAGGCACAAAUAUGAUGAGAAUUACAUUGAUUUGGGGUUCACUUGCACUACCGUUCAAAAGAUUAGGGUCACUUAGAUAUGUCUUUGUUUUUGAAAGAAAAACACAUUUUCACAUUAAAAUAACAUUUAAAAUAACAUAAAAUUGUUCUAAAAAUACAGUGUAAGACAUUAUUAAUGUUGUAAAUGACUAUUGUAGCUGGAAAUGGUAGAUUUAUUUGGAAUAUCUACAUACUGUAGGUGUACAGAGGCCCAUUAUCAGCAACCAUCACUUAUUUGUUCCAAUGGCACGUUAUGUUAGCGAAUCAAAAUUGUUCAUUUUAAAAGGCUAAUUGAUUGUCACACCCUGACCUUAGAGAUCCUUUUAUGUCUCGGGGCGUGAGUUGGGGUGGGCAUUCUAUGUUUUUGUGUUCUAUGUUUUCUAUUUCUGUGUGUUUGGCCGGGUGUGGUUCUCAAUCAGAGGCAGCUGUCUAUCAUUGUCUCUGAUUGAGAACCAUACUUUGGUAGCCUUUUCCCACCUGUGUCUUGUGGGUAGUUGUUUUCUGUUUGUGUCUUUCUGCACCUGACAGGACUGUUUCGGUUUUUGUUCAUUCUCUUUGUUAUUUUUGUUAUUUCAGUGUUCUGUUCAAAUAAAGUAUGAACACAUACCA